rnacentral:lncRNA from 1 species
CUUGAGGAAGGGCGUUUGUGAUUGGUGGGUUCUGCCGCGGCCGGGAAGUUCGAACAGAAGUCUGGGGAAGAGCCGGCGAAGAGCAAAGAGAUAAUACAGUACUCCCAGCUAUAGCAAGCGGCAGUUAUGGAGCAUGCGCAGCAGCAGGGGCGGCCGCAGGUCGCCGUUCAAUAAUACGUAAUUCAAGGGAUUUGUACAGCCCUGUAGGAGACACCUCCAGAGAAAGUAACAGCUCUCAAUUGAUUAGCUGAGAAGCCUCAGGGGCUGGAUCCUGACAUGAACCAGACACCUCCAGAAUUCUAUCCCAAGCAAAAGAUUAUUUCAAGGCCAGAACUCACUCCCUGCUGGAGACUGACUACAAGAUCCACUGAGAUUGAUGUGUAACCUGAUUGGGCCCACAGUGAUGCUAGCCCCUUCACCAGAUGGAACAAUAAUUCCAGACAAGCCAUCAGAGCAGGUCACACCACUUGACACCUUCUCGCCCCCUUGCCUCUCCUGCAUUCCAAACCCCUCUCUUUAAAAUCCCCAUGUUCCCUCCGUAAACUGGGCAGUGCCAAUUGUUGGAAAGAAUUCUGGCACUCUUUUCCUUCUUAGCAUGGAUAAAAAGAUUCACCCUCUUUUUAUCACACCUCACUCUUGUUAUUUUGGCUUCUUUCUACAAGUGGUGAGCAACCGGGCCCCCUUUGCUGGUUAUAGUAUGAACUAUUUUAUUUUUUUUAAUCUACAAUAAAAUAAAAUACAUUCAUUAGA